UGGAUCGAUGAUGACCAAGGAUGGCGUAUGAAUCACUGAUGAUGAGUACGUGUCUUGAACUCUGAGGUCCAU
ensembl:snoRNA